AUUGAACGCUGGCGGAAUGCUUUACACAUGCAAGUCGAACGGCAGCACGGGAGCUUGCUGCUGUUGCCGAGUGGCGAACGGGGGAGUAACAUAUCGGAACGUACCCAGUCGUGGGGGAUAACUAUCCGAAAGGAUAGCUAAUACCGCAACCGUCCUGGGGGAGAGAGCGGAGGAUCGCAAGACCUCGCCCGUUUGGGGCGGACGAUAUCGGAUUAGCUAGUUGGAGGGGUAAGGGCUCACCAAGGCGACGAUCCGUAGCGGGUCUGAGAGGACGACCAGCCACACUGGAACUGAGACACGGUCCAGACUCCUACGGGAGGCAGCAGUGGGGAAUUUUGGACAAUGGGCGCAACCCUGAUCCAGCCAUACCGCGUGAGUGAAGAAGGCCUUCGGGUUGUAAAGCCCUUUUAGCAGGAACGAAACGGUCGGCUUUAAUACAGUCGGGUAAUGACGGUACCUGCAGAAGAAGCACCGGCUAACUACGUG
rnacentral:rRNA from 1 species